GACGAACGCUGGCGGCGCGCUUAACACAUGCAAGUCGAGCGGUAAGGCCCUUUCGGGGGUACGACGAGCGGCGAACGGGUGAGUAACACGUGGGUGACCUGCCCUCAGCUCUGGGAUAAGCCUGGGAAACCGGGGUACUAAUACCGGAUAUGACUCCAUGACGCAUGUUGUGGGGUGGAAAGCCUUGUGCGGCUGAGGAUGGGCCUGCGGCCUAUCAGCUUGUUGGUGGGGGGAU
rnacentral:rRNA from 1 species